UAUCUCAGUUCGGAUUGGAGGCUGAAACCCGCCUCCAUGAAGUUGGAUUCACUAGUAAUCGCGCAUCAGCCAUGGCGCGGUGAAUACGUUCCCGGGCCUUGUACACACCGCCCGUCAAGCCAUGGGAGCUGGGGGGUGCCUGAAGUUCGUGACCGCAAGGAUCGACCUAGGGCAAAACCGGUGACUGGGGCUAAGUCGUAACAAGGUACC
rnacentral:rRNA from 1 species